GUGGGUGUAGCUCAACUGGUAGAGCAUUGCCUUCUCAGGGCAAAGGCUGUUGGUUCAAAUCCAUUCGCCCUGC
rnacentral:tRNA from 1 species